UACGAAGGGGGCUAGCGUUGCUCGGAAUCACUGGGCGUAAAGCGCACGUAGGCGGAUUGUUAAGUCAGGGGUGAAAUCCUGGAGCUCAACUCCAGAACUGCCUUUGAUACUGGCGAUCUCGAGUCCGGGAGAGGUGAGUGGAACUGCGAGUGUAGAGGUGAAAUUCGUAGAUAUUCGGAGAACACCAGUGGCGAAGGCGGCUCACUGGUCCGGUACUGACGCUGAGGUGCGAAAGCGUGG
rnacentral:rRNA from 1 species